GACGAACGCUGGCGGCGUGCUUAACACAUGCAAGUCGAAUGAAGUGGCGAACGGGUGAGUAAUACGUGGGUAACCUGCCCUCCUUUUUGGGAUAAGCCUUGGAAAAGGGGUCUAAUAACGAAUACAGGGGGAUGGGCUCGCGGCCUCUCAGCUUGUUGGUGGGGUGAUGGCCUACCAAGGCGGUGACGGGUAGCCGGCCUGAGAGGGUGACCGGCCACAUUGGGACUGAGAUACGGCCCAGACUCCUACGGGAGGCGGCAGUGGGGGAUGUUGCACAAUGGUCGAAAGCCUGAUGCAGCGAAGCCGCGGGGGGGUUGAAGGCUUUCGGGUUGUAAGCCUCUUUCGCUCUCGAACGGGUAGGUGGAGAAGAAGCGCCGGCUAACUACGUGCCAGCAGCCGCGGUAAUAC
rnacentral:rRNA from 1 species